rnacentral:rRNA from 1 species
UGGGGAAUAUUGGACAAUGGGCGAAAGCCUGAUCCAGCCAUGCCGCGUGUGUGAAGAAGGUCUUCGGAUUGUAAAGCACUUUAAGUUGGGAGGAAGGGCAUUAACCUAAUACGUUAGUGUUUUGACGUUACCGACAGAAUAAGCACCGGCUAACUCUGUGCCAGCAGCCGCGGUAAUACAGAGGGUGCAAGCGGUAAUCGGAAUUACUGGGCGUAAAGCGCGCGUAGGUGGUUUGUUAAGUUGGAUGUGAAAGCCCCGGGCUCAACCUGGGAACUGCAUCCAAAACUGGCAAGCUAGAGUACGGUAGAGGGUGGUGGAAUUUCCUGUGUAGCGGUGAAAUGCGUAGAUAUAGGAAGGAACACCAGUGGCGAAGGCGACCACCUGGACUGAUACUGACACUGAGGUGCGAAAGCGUGGGGAGCAAACA